UCCGUAGGCGGUGUGGCAAGUCGGGAGUGAAAUCUCUGGGCUUAACUCAGAGGCUGCUUCCGAAACUGCUGUGCUUGAGUGUGGGAGAGGCGCGUGGAAUUGCAGGUGUAGCGGUGAAAUGCGUAGAUAUCUGCAGGAACACCCGUGGCGAAGGCGGCGCGCUGGACCACAACUGACGCUGAGGGACGAAAGCUAGGGGAGCAAACAGGAUUAGAUACCCUGGUAGUCCUAGCCCUAAACCAUCAGGACUUGGGGUGUCUCGAGUACUCGGGACGUCCCGGAGCUAACGCGUUAAGUCCUGCGCCUGGGGAGUACGGUUGCAAGACUGAA
rnacentral:rRNA from 1 species